rnacentral:rRNA from 1 species
GAGUAACGCGUAUCCAACCUUCCCACUUAUUGUGGGAGUAACCUGCCGAAAGGCAGACUAAUACCGCAUAGUCUUCGAUGACGGCAUCAGAUUUGAAGUAAAGAUUUAUCGGUAAUGGAUGGGGAUGCGUCUGAUUAGCUUGUUGGCGGGGUAACGGCCCACCAAGGCGACGAUCAGUAGGGGGUUCUGAGAGGAAGGUCCCCCACAUUGGAACUGAGACACGGUCCAAACUCCUACGGGAGGCAGCAGAG